UAGGUUUAGUACGUAGGCGCCAUUAAUGUCGAAUCGUGCAUGCUGCUGGUACGGGCCGAUAGUAUCUUUGAAAGAUUUCUA
rfam:Glossina brevipalpis unplaced genomic scaffold Scaffold12, whole genome shotgun sequence.